rnacentral:rRNA from 1 species
UACGUAGGGUGCGAGCGUUAAUCGGAAUUACUGGGCGUAAAGCGUGCGCAGGCUGUUCUGUAAGUCAGAUGUGAAAUCCCCGAGCUCAACUUGGGAACUGCGUUUGAAACUACAGGACUAGAAUAUGUCAGAGGGGGGUAGAAUUCCACGUGUAGCAGUGAAAUGCGUAGAGAUGUGGAGGAAUACCAAUGGCGAAGGCAGCCCCCUGGGAUAAUAUUGACGCUCAUGCA